GGGCAUGUAGCUCAGUUGGAUAGAGCAUCAGAUUCCGGUUCUGAGGGUCGGGGGUUCGAGUCCCUCCAUGCUCGUCA
rnacentral:tRNA from 10 species